rnacentral:miRNA from 1 species
UAGUACCAGUAUCUUGUGUUCA